CAGUAGCCACGGGAAUACGUAGGGCGCAAGCGUUGUCCGGAAUUAUUGGGCGUAAAGAGCUCGUAGGCGGUCUGUCGCGUCUGGUGUGAAAUCCCGAGGCUCAACCUCGGGCUUGCAUCGGGUACGGGCAGACUAGAGUGCGGUAGGGGAGACUGGAAUUCCUGGUGUAGCGGUGGAAUGCGCAGAUAUCAGGAGGAACACCGAUGGCGAAGGCAGGUCUCUGGGCCGCAACUGACGCUGAGGAGCGAAAGCAUGGGGAGCGAACAGGAUUAGAUACCCCUGUAGUCCCUGUCUCUUAUUC
rnacentral:rRNA from 1 species